rnacentral:rRNA from 1 species
CAGUAGCCGCGGUAAUACGUAGGUGGCAAGCGUUGUCCGGAAUUAUUGGGCGUAAAGCGCGCGCAGGUGGUUUAAUAAGUCUGAUGUGAAAGCCCACGGCUCAACCGUGGAGGGUCAUUGGAAACUGUUAAACUUGAGUGCAGGAGAGAAAAGUGGAAUUCCUAGUGUAGCGGUGAAAUGCGUAGAGAUUAGGAGGAACACCAGUGGCGAAGGCGGCUUUUUGGCCUGUAACUGACACUGAGGCGCGAAAGCGUGGGGAGCAAACAGGAUUAGAUACCCCGGUAGUCCCUGUCUCUUAUAC